rfam:Photobacterium damselae subsp. piscicida DI21 contig00467, whole genome shotgun sequence.
UAGCUGGUUCUCCCCGAAAGCUAUUUAGGUAGCGCCUCGGACGAAUACUACUGGGGGUAGAGCACUGUUAAGGCUAGGGGGUCAUCCCGACUUACCAACCCUUUGCAAACUCCGAAUACCAGUAAGUACUAUCCGGGAGACACACGGCGGGUGCUAACGUCCGUCGUGAAGAGGGAAACAACCCAGACCGCCAGCUAAGGUCCCAAAGUUAUAGCUAAGUGGGAAACGAUGUGGGAAGGCUCAGACAGCCAGGAUGUUGGCUUAGAAGCAGCCAUCAUUUAAAGAAAGCGUAAUAGCUCACUGGUCGAGUCGGCCUGCGCGGAAGAUUUAACGGGGCUAAGCUAUACACCGAAGCUGCGGCAAUGUGCUUUGCACAUUGGGUAGGGGAGCGUUCUGUAAGCCGUUGAAGGUGCAUUGUAAAGUGUGCUGGAGGUAUCAGAAGUGCGAAUGCUGACAUGAGUAACGACAAAGGGAGUGAAAAACUCCCUCGCCGGAAGACCAAGGGUUCCUGUCCAACGUUAAUCGGGGCAGGGUGAGUCGACCCCUAAGGCGAGGCCGAAAGGCGUAGUCGAUGGGAAACGGGUUAAUAUUCCCGUACUUCUUACUAUUGCGAUGGGGGGACGGAGAAGGCUAGGUGAGCCUGGCGACGGUUGUCCAGGUCCAAGUACGUAGGUGGAUGAAUUAGGCAAAUCCGGUUCAUCAUUAACACUGAGAUACGAUGUCGAGCUACUACGGUAGCGAAGUCAUUGAUGCCAUGCUUCCGGGAAAAGCCUCUAAGCUUCAGAUAGUAAGAAAUCGUACCCCAAACCGACACAGGUGGUCGGGUAGAGAAUACCAAGGCGCUUGAGAGAACUCGGGUGAAGGAACUAGGCAAAAUGGUACCGUAACUUCGGGAGAAGGUACGCUCUUAACGGUGAAGUCCCUCGCGGAUGGAGCUGUCGAGAGUCGCAGAUACCAGGUGGCUGCAACUGUUUAUUAAAAACACAGCACUGUGCAAAAUCGAAAGAUGACGUAUACGGUGUGACGCCUGCCCGGUGCCGGAAGGUUAAUUGAUGGGGUUAGACGUAAGUCGAAGCUCUUGAUCGAAGCCCCGGUAAACGGCGGCCGUAACUAUAACGGUCCUAAGGUAGCGAAAUUCCUUGUCGGGUAAGUUCCGACCUGCACGAAUGGCGUAAUGAUGGCCACGCUGUCUCCACCCGAGACUCAGUGAAAUUGAAAUCGCUGUGAAGAUGCAGCGUACCCGCGGCUAGACGGAAAGACCCCGUGAACCUUUACUACAGCUUGGCACUGAACAUUGACCCUACAUGUGUAGGAUAGGUGGGAGACUUUGAAACGCAGACGCCAGUUUGCGUGGAGUCGUCCUUGAAAUACCACCCUUGUAGUGUUGAUGUUCUAACUUGGCCCCAUUAUCUGGGGUGAGGACAGUGCCUGGUGGGUAGUUUGACUGGGGCGGUCUCCUCCCAAAGAGUAACGGAGGAGCACGAAGGUGGGCUAAUCACGGUCGGACAUCGUGAGGUUAGUGCAAUGGCAUAAGCCCGCUUAACUGCGAGAAUGACGGUUCGAGCAGGUGCGAAAGCAGGUCAUAGUGAUCCGGUGGUUCUGUAUGGAAGGGCCAUCGCUCAACGGAUAAAAGGUACUCCGGGGAUAACAGGCUGAUACCGCCCAAGAGUUCAUAUCGACGGCGGUGUUUGGCACCUCGAUGUCGGCUCAUCACAUCCUGGGGCUGAAGUCGGUCCCAAGGGUAUGGCUGUUCGCCAUUUAAAGUGGUACGCGAGCUGGGUUUAGAACGUCGUGAGACAGUUCGGU